rnacentral:rRNA from 1 species
GACGAACGCUGGCGGCGUGCUUAACACAUGCAAGUCGAACGGAAAGGCCAUGCUUUUGUUGGUCGCUCGAGUGGCGAACGGGGGAGUAACACGUGAGUAACCUGCCCUUAACUUUGUGAUAACUUCAGGAAACUGGGGCUAAUACCGCAUAGGAGCUCUUGCUGCAUGGGGGGGGUUGGAAAGUUUCGGCGGUUGUGGAUGGAUUCGCAGCUUAUCAGCUUGUUUGGGGAGUAGUGGAGUACCAAGGCUUUGAAGGGUAGGCCGCCUGAGAGGGUGACCGGCGACAAUGGGACUGAGAGAGGGCCCAGACGCCUACGGGAGGCAGUAGUGGAGAGUAUUGCGCAAUGGGCGGAAGCCUGAUGCAGCAACGUCGCGUGCGGGAUGCCGUGUUUCGGGGGGUGAACCGCUUUCGCCUUUGACGUAGAGUGCGUGACGGUAAUGGGUCAAAAAGCACCGGCUAACUACGUG